rnacentral:rRNA from 1 species
UACGUAGGGUGCAAGCGUUAAUCGGAAUUACUGGGCGUAAAGCGUGCGCAGGCGGUUGUGCAAGACCGAUGUGAAAUCCCCGGGCUUAACCUGGGAACUGCAUUGGUGACUGUACGGCUAGAGUGUGUCAGAGGGGGGUAGAAUUCCACGUGUAGCAGUGAAAUGCGUAGAGAUGUGGAGGAAUACCGAUGGCGAAGGCAGCCCCCUGGGAUAACACUGACGCUCAUGCACGAAAGCGUGGGGAGCAAACAGG